rnacentral:misc_RNA from 1 species
UGAGGAACGAUAAUCGAACUAUCGGUAGUAGAUUGAAUAGACCUUGGUUUCCCUAGUCAAUUAUUGUACGCUUGACAGUAUAGAAGACGUACAGAAUAUGGUAUAUAGAUUCUAGAAAUUUCGUGAAAGUUAGUUACAACGAGAUUUUCGACGAAUUCGAGUUUACUCACUUCAGAAAUUCAAUAUUCUGGUUUAUACGCGUAACCGAGCAUUACAUAUUGCAAUCAAUCCAAGUAUAAUUGUUUAUUUAAUAUAAUCUAACGAUCAUUUAAUAUUCAAAAUGUCUUUGUUUGGAUCUUUAAUGGGCGAUUUCGACGAUGAUCCUAUAUUUGGAUCUCAUAUGCGUACCAUGAGGCAGAUGAACAGCAUAAUGAACUCUCUUUUUACUGAUCCUUUUGGAAUGAUGGGUCAGAAUGCGUUGACCGAUUCUCAACAACGAAGUGGGAUACAUCAUAAUGAAAUGCAAAUGAUGCCCUUUGCUUUUCCAACGAUGCCAACUAUGAACUUUAAUAGAUUAUUCACUAAUUUUGAUAAUUUGGCAUCAAAUGGAAAUUGUCAUUCCUUUACGAGUAGUUCUGUAACAACUAUGGCCAGUGGUGCAGAUGGACGUCCGCAAGUUUACCAAGAAACAAUGUCUACAAGAACUGCACCCGGUGGAGUAAAAGAAACCAAAAAAACUGUAUGUGAUACAAGAACUGGAACGAAGAAAAUGGCUAUCGGUCAUCAUAUUGGAGAUAGAGCCCAUAUUCGUGAAAGGGAACAUAACCUUCAUAACGGAGAGCAAGAAGAACACGAAGAGUUCAUUAAUCUUGAUGAAGAUGAAGCUGAGAGUUUCAACAACGAGUGGGAAUCUUGUACAAGACGAUCGGCAGGUGCAAUUGCUGGACCACAUCAUAGUUCAUAUCCUAACUACAAUAGACGUCGUCCUGAUUACAAGCAAUUGGCUUUGCCUGAUGCAUCAGGAAGAUAUAAGAAGCAUGGAAGAAAAUCUGGUAGAAAAAUGUGAUUACAAUACUUUGGCUGAAUCCAAAUCUCUUGGUGCAUUCCUUCUCUUCAACUUUGUCUCUGAGGGGCUAGCAUCUUCUGAAGCUGCCCAUCAAAAAAAGACUACUACAGGAUAUCGAAAACGUGAACAUACUCCAGACACCGA